AUUGAACGCUGGCGGAAUGCUUUACACAUGCAAGUCGAACGGUAGAGGGGGCAACCCCUCGAGAGUGGCGAACGGGUGAGUAAUAUAUCGGAACGUGCCCAGUCGUGGGGGAUAACGUAGCGAAAGUUACGCUAAAACCGCAUACGAUCUAAGGAUGAAAGCGGGGGAUCGCAAGACCUCGCGCGAUUGGAGCGGCCGAUAUCAGAUUAGGUAGUUGGUGGGGUAAAGGCUCACCAAGCCAACGAUCUGUAGCUGGUCUGAGAGGACGACCAGCCACACUGGAACUGAGACACGGUCCAGACUCCUACGGGAGGCAGCAGUGGGGAAUUUUGGACAAUGGACGCAAGUCUGAUCCAGCCAUUCCGCGUGCAGGAUGAAGGCCCUCGGGUUGUAAACUGCUUUUGUACGGAACGAAAAGGCCUCUCUUAAUACGGGGGGCUCAUGACGGUACCGUAAGAAUAAGCACCGGCUAACUACGUGCCAGCCGCCGCAGUAA
rnacentral:rRNA from 1 species